UCCUAAACUGAGAAACGGAGUCAGGGCUGUUAUCUUCAAAAAACUGUUGGGACUGUCUAGCUCCAAAGAACUGACUCUUAUUAAAUAACUGACUGUGUAAUAAUAGGCCUAACUUUGAGAGCCUACCUGCAUCACUGCCUCCUGAAAUGAGACAACUGUUUAACUAAACUGACUUAUUCCCAAGUCUGAGAGACUGGUUCAAAAGAUGAUGCAAUCUACCAACUCAACUUCUUGAUCUGGACUUCUUGGGAAAGUUUCAAAGGUGGAACUAAAGGGGAACAGAUUAUAUUACCCAAAAUGUGCCCCUUUUGCAUGUGGAUUGUUUGAGCUGAAGGCAAUCAAGACCUGGCCGUCUCAGGAAAAACUUUUACCUCUCCUUUAACUGCCUAAAAAAACUUAGAUAGGGGACCUGGCCCAGAAAGACAGCUAUUACCAGAGAGAAUUUGUUUUUUCCUGUAGGGCUUACCUACAUGGCAGGUAAAAUAUCUGAUUAGCAAACACCUGCUCUUCUUAGCUUCCCAGUGAAUUGCCCUCCUCCCCUUUGAAGCUCCAGCCCAUAUCCCUCAGCUGAGAUGGCAUAUAAACCUCAAUUGCCUGACUGCCUUUGGAUCACAUAUGUUUAUGGGGCUCCCAUAACUUAGGAAAUCAAAUUUGUCUUUCUCGUGUUAAAAAAAUAAAAAUAAAGGUCAUCUCUCAGCU